rnacentral:lncRNA from 1 species
UUGGUGUUAAAAGGUAAACAUGUAUUUGUUGUUAGUAGCUUUCAAAAUAGUACAUGUCCAUGUGAGGGAGAGUUAAUAGUAGUACCUCAAAACUGUGCAACUAUCUUGUGUUUCACACUUGAUAUUCGGUACUAAUUAAAUUCACACACUGGUAAUAUAUUUCUUGCCAAAGACAUGAUACUUGAACUUGAAAUAUUUGG